rnacentral:rRNA from 1 species
CCUACGGGAGGCAGCAGUCGAGAAUCAUUCACAAUGGGGGAAACCCUGAUGGUGCGACGCCGCGUGGGGGAAUGCAGGUCUUCGGAUUGUAAACCCCUGUCAUGUGGGAGCAAAUUAAAAAGAUAGUACCACAAGAGGAAGAGCCGGCUAACUCUGUGCCAGCAGCCGCGGUACUACAGAGGUCUCAAGCGUUGUUCGGAAUCCGUGGGCGUAAAGUGUGCGUAGGCUGUUUCGUAAGUCGGGUGUGAAAGGCGGGGGCUCAACCCGCGGACGGCACAUGAUACUGUGGGACUAGAGUAAUGGAGGGGGAAGCGGAAUUCACGGUGUAGCAGUGAAAUGCGUAGAGAUCGAGAGGAACACUCGUGGCGAAGGCGGGUUCCUGGACAUUAACUGACGCUGAGGCACGAAGGCCAGGGGAGCGAAAGGGAUUAGAUACCCGGGUAGUC